UUAACUUAUAUAUUUAUUUACUUAUAUAUAGUACAUUAUUAUGCGAGAUAAUAGAAUUGUUAUAAAGUGCCAUUUAUUAAAAAAUAGAAAUAAUAUUUCCACGGUAUGUAUUAUGUAAAUUUGGUCGCGCAAUUUUAGGUAGUCGUCCAUUUUUGCGCGUUUUUCUUCUGUCAUAAUAUAAAUAUGCAUUUUAUAAUCAGAAGUGUAGUUCAAAAUAUCAUGCAAAUUAACCGCAUUUUCAUGAUUGAAUAUUGUGUGCUACAAGGAUGAACAAAAGAGGAGAAGGAAGCUUGGGCACCAACAGAGCAGCGUGCUCAACAUGUGUUGAUCUAUUUCUGCUGUACAUCGUACCGGAGUCCCAAUCUACAAAGUCCUCAUCGAACUGGCGCACCAGAGACAAUUUGUAUAUAUUCGACGUUUCAAUUAAAACAUCAUCUCGCGGUCGUUUAUGGUCGUGUUAAGAAAAAGUGGCACCUUUCGGAACCAGACGAUCCGGACGGUUUUCCGUCCGUCACUAGACUUGGACAGCUGCGUCGUGGACCCCCGUAAACGACUAACGGGGCCCCAUCAUAGCGCAACGUGGAUGAAACUACGAGGAUGUGUGCUAUCGAGAGAAAGAGAGAGAGAGAGAGAGCGCGCGGACAAAAACUAUGGAUCGCGCACAAUGGUCACAUUGUGACGGGUGUAUCCACAAAAGGCGUCGAUCGAAGCGAGAACAGCCAGCGUCGGCAUCGUGCCAAAAAUCGGCUCGGAAAGCUGGCGAAACGCGCGUGCUCCAUCAUUCCACAUCGGGGAGAAUGUAGCAAGGGGACACCCGGUAGCCGCCGAUGACAUAUACAUCGGCUCUCCUUAACAGUAACAUUUAUAUAACAGAUACGUUUUUUUUUAUAUCAAUUAAGGAGACGUAAGAAAAAACCCAGCCGGUUUUCGUUUUUUAAUUGUGCGUUGCGUAAUCGAGAUUAAUAAGAUCGUCCGUUUCUCAUAUCACACAACAGCGAUAAAAUUAUAUAUAGCAAGUCAAGGUAACGGGAAAGAAAAAUUGAUUAAUGGUUAAAUAAUAAGGAAUGACAAAAAACGCGAAAUUAAUUGCGAUCUCGGGCUCUUUCUGAAAAUUAUAUUAAAGAUCAACGGCAAGGAUAUAUUGGCGUUAUCGUGAACCUGAAUUAAUUUCUAUUUAAUCAUAUGCCGGUAGAAUGCGCUCUUUUCGUGGAACUAGCUCGACGCACAUAUCCAGAGAGACGUAGGGAAAAGUAAUUUGCGGAAAUAAGCAUGAAACAUGCUGGCGGCCUAAUCAGGAAAGUCUACUAUGUUUAUAGAAGGAAAUGUCACGCUUACGUUCUCGCAAUUACAUUUCACGGAAUAUAUUUCCGAGAGCUCACACAUAAUUCGAAACUAUGAUAACAGCGGAAUGAAACUGACUUACAAUUUAGCUUUUGUCUUGCGAAUCUUG